GUGUCAGCAGCCGCGGUAAUACGGAGGGUGCAAACGUUGCUCGGAAUCAUUGGGCGUAAAGCGCACGUAGGCGGUCCAGCAAGUCGGGUGUGAAAGCCCUCGGCUUAACCGGGGAAGUGCAUUCGAAACUACUGGGCUUGAGUACUGAAGAGGAUCGCGGAAUUCCCGGUGUAGAGGUGAAAUUCGUAGAUAUCGGGAGGAACACCAGUGGCGAAGGCGGCGAUCUGGGCAGAUACUGACGCUGAUGUGCGAAAGCGUGGGGAGCAAACAGGAUUAGAAACCCUAGUAGUCC
rnacentral:rRNA from 1 species